AGCUUAGAUACUUUUGGCCAUCCAUGAACCAAUUCUCUUGGCUUCUACCUUCUAACCCAAAUAUAUCUGGGAAGCCCAACUGAAACCCCAGAAGUAGUCAUGACAUCAGGCCCACUGUACAAGUACUGAAAUGGCUGAUGACAGAGGAUGUUCGACCCAGAUGAGUCAUCUUGUUCACUUAGUUUUGAAGUACCUCUUUUGAAUGAGGCUUUAACAUGACACAAAAACAAAUCUGCAUUUGUGUCCACUCCUAUACCUCCAUCAGCACGCCACUUCUCCUGAACUCUUACUUAGCCUCUGGACCUUUCUCUCUUCCUCCUUUCAGACCUCUCACCAACAAACCAAAUCAUUGCCACUUCUCAAGUUUGCAAGCAUACCUUUACCUCUGAUGACUUCUUCCAUGAAACUAAGAAUGAGUCGGCAAUGUAUAAUGGAACAAAUUGACUCUUGGCUGACUGGCUAAGUCGUUUAGCCUCUCUGAGCCACAUUUCCCUUAACUAUAAAAUGAGGUUUAAAAAAAGAAGUCCACUCUGAAGGCUUGUGAUGUGGAUAAAUGCUUUUAACUUCUUACUUGAGCCCAUUGAAGGUAUGAGAGAGCCCUGUGAGUGCUGAAGGCAUUUUUCUACCUAAUGAUGACUCUAGUACUGGAGGAAGCAAAAUUGGAAAAAUCUUAGAAAAACGGACAUCUAACCUUGACCAAACAUGCCUGAAGGCUUUCUUCCCUACCUGAAUUAUGAUAUAUUUUUCUAUACACAAAAUAAUGUAAUUUUCAAAGUUAAUCCUUUGAAAGCUCAGAUUUUUUACAACAGCUUUAACAAGGCAAUAGCUUUACUGUGUGCUGUGAGCUGAUAGAUUGGGAACUUUCAACCACUUACACUAUGGCUAAGAAUUCAAAUCUCUGGAGAAAGAUUAGGAAUGUGCAUUUACACAAGCGUUGUUAUCUCAUUCUGACGUAGAUGGUCAUCUACCAGACAAUUUGAGUUUAAGUUUUACCUGGGAGCUUUGAAAAAAUACAGAUGCCUAGCCCCCACAGACCUCACAUCCAAAGAUUUGGUUCCACUAGAAUGGGGUACAGGUAACAGUGUUUAGAGCUCCAUAGCUUGUUAAUGUGCAGCCAUGGUGUCAAGGCAAGACUUCUCAAACUUUAACGUGCAGACAAAUCAUUCAUCGAUAUAGUAAAAAUGCAAGUUGUGAUUUAGUAGGUCUGAGAUAAGGCCUGAGAUCUUGCAUUUCUAAUGAGUGUCCCAACUCUAAAAAACAAAAAUCAGUUAAUCAGGCUAGGCAUUGACAGGCAUGUACAUUACAAGUGAAGUAGAUAAGGAAAGGUUGGUACUAGAAAUUAUCCACUGUACUGGGGCAAGUGUAAAGAGCACAGAUCCAGUUAGAAGUUAAUAGCUUUUUUUGCAUCACUAAUUUUUUAGAGGCUAGGAAAGUCCAUUUUAAUAUUACGCAUUUAAGAGAGAAACUAGGUAUUAAAGAAAUUAACAUUUAGCAGUUGGAAAAUAUUGACUUGGUAGCAGGGAGUCUGUUAUCCUUGCUGUUACCCUGAACAUUUCAAUUUCAGAAAGUUGCAUGACUUUUGAAUCUCCUCCAUGUAAGACAUCCUGCUUGACAUAAGGAUUUAUUUCUGACUUUCCAUCAGUUUCUAAUUAAUAGCACCACUGUGUGCUACAUGAUGUGAGAAUUAAAAAUCUCUAAACAGUACCACAGGAGCACCACAUUGCACUUCUACUUGAAAAAACACCUGAUCAGUUAUCCAGCUGUUUCCUCCAGAUGUUUUCUGUAAACUCAAAGGUCAUUGUUUCACUAAAAUUGAGAUUAAUUUGGCUUAAACAUAUCUUGCUCACUAUAAUAAAGUAGAGCUAUUAAAAUCAAGUUUUUAAAUAGCCACAGGUAUAUACAAUCAAAUGUUGUAGAACUUACCAAAUAUAUGUUUCUAAAAGCACUUUCUCUCCACUUUUAUAAAUCUAAAUGCAAAAUCAUAUAGUUUGUAUGUUUUGUAAUAAAAUGUGUAGUGACACAUUCUUUCCUCUGAGUAAAUAUCUCAUGACGAAAAGGAACAUAUCAUUAUUAGUACAGAGUAAUAACAGAAUUCACUAUAAGAUGAAAAGCUCAGCAAAUGGUGACUGCUCUUGAAAUGACAAAUAACACAUAAUAUCUUCCCCUAAGCUAAUCUGGAAGCAAAAUAAUAAGACAUGACCUAAAGGAUACAGUAUAUGUGUCUGUAUGCUUUACUUUAUAGCAUCUUUGUAAAAUAAUGUGAUUUUACCAGAUUGCAUGAGAUUGUGUUAUAACCAGAUACUAUUAGAGUCAUAGGCAUUAAAAGUUGUCCUUCAUAAGGGGUAUUAUGGCAUUUAAUUACAAGUAUUCUUUUUCAUAAUGAAAUCAGAAUGCAAACACCAGCCCUACAAUAACUCUGCACUUGAAUAGCAAACCAAAUAUUCCUCAAAGGUCAUAAUUUUAUAAGUUUGAGAUUAAAAAUAACAUCUAAUCUUUACUACUGCUGUCUUUCCAUCCCUAGGAAUAUUACUUAUUUUCAUUAAUUACUUAUUUAGUCUAUUUGAUCACAAAGUUAAAUCAAAAUCUCAGAGAAGACUACAGCAAUAACAUUUAUCAAGCUCCAUUGUGUAUCUGUCAUUGGGUGUAUACUAUUCUGUGAACUAUGGCCUUCCACGGACUAUUAAUAAAGAGACAUAGUUACAUAUCAAUAUUUAUUUCUAUGACGUAUGUCCCCUAUGAAAAAAAUAUACCUUGGUCUAUGAUUAAAUGUCCUUUGUUUACAAAAACCAUUAUUGUGUACUAAAUUAUUCGUCCUUUUUCCUUUCAAACAAUAAAAAAGCUAUUGAAAUAUG
ensembl:lncRNA LINC01790 long intergenic non-protein coding RNA 1790